rnacentral:rRNA from 1 species
UACGGGGGGUGCGAGCGUUGUCCGGAAUCACUGGGCGUAAAGGGCGCGUAGGUGGUUUGAUAAGGGUGUGGUGAAAGUCCGGGGCUCAACCCCGGAUCUGCCGUGCCGACUGUCAAACUCGAGGACUGUAGAGGCAGACGGAAUUCCGGGUGUAGCGGUGGAAUGCGUAGAGAUCCGGAGGAAGACCGGUGGCGAAGGCGGUCUGCUGGGCAG